UUGGAGGGCAAGUCUGGUGCCAGCAGCCGCGGUAAUUCCAGCUCCAAUAGCGUAUAUUAAAGUUGUUGCAGUUAAAAAGCUCGUAGUUGAAUUUCGGGGUCAGUAGGUUGGUCGUGCCACUGGUACGUACUGGUCUCACUGAUUCCUCCUUCCUGAUGAACCGUAAUGCCAUUAAUUUGGUGUUGCGGGGAAACUGGACUGUUACUUUGAAAAAAAUUAGAGUGUUUAAAGCAGGCUAACGCUUGAAUACAUUAGCAUGGAAUAAUGAAAUAGGACGUUCGAUCCUAUUUUGUUGGUUUCUAGGAUUGACGUAAUGAUUAAUAGGGACAGUUGGGGGCAUUAGUAUUCAAUUGUCAGAGGUGAAAUUCUUGGAUUUAUUGAAGACUAACUACUGCGAAAGCAUUUGCCAAGGAUGUUUUCAUUAAUCAAGAACGAAAGUUAGGGGAUCGAAGACGAUCAGAUACCGUCGUAGUCUUAACCAUAAACUAUGCCGACUAGGGAUCGGAUGAUGUUAAUUUUUUAAUGACUCAUUCGGCGCCUUACGGGAAAC
rnacentral:rRNA from 1 species